GAUGAACGCUAGCUACAGGCUUAACACAUGCAAGUCGAGGGGAAACGACAUUGAAGCUUGCUUCGAUGGUCGUCGACCGGCGCACGGGUGAGUAACGCGUAUCCAACCUGCCUCUGACCAAGGGAUAACCCGUCGAAAGUCGGCCUAAUACCUUAUGCAGUCGUCGGAAGUCAUCUGAUGACGACGAAAGAUUUCAUCGGUGAGAGAUGGGGAUGCGUCUGAUUAGCUUGUUGGCGGGGUAACGGCCCACCAAGGCAACGAUCAGUAGGGGUCCUGAGAGGAAGGUCCCCCACAUUGGAACUGAGACACGGUCCAAACUCCUACGGGAGGCAGCAGUGAGGAAUAUUGGUCAAUGGGCGAGAGCCUGGACCAGCCAAGUAGCGUGCAGGAUGACGGCCCUAUGGGUUGUAAACUGCUUUUAUGCGGGGAUAAAGUGAGGGACGUGUCCUUCAUUGCAGGUACCGCAUGAAUAAGGACCGGCUAAUUCCGUG
rnacentral:rRNA from 1 species